rnacentral:rRNA from 1 species
GUGGGGAAUAUUGGGCAAUGGGCGCAAGCCUGACCCAGCAACGCCGCGUGAAGGAAGAAGGCUUUCGGGUUGUAAACUUCUUUUAUCAGGGACGAAACAAAUGACGGUACCUGAAGAAUAAGCCACGGCUAACUACGUGCCAGCAGCCGCGGUAAUACGUAGGUGGCGAGCGUUAUCCGGAUUUACUGGGUGUAAAGGGCGCGUAGGCGGGAAGGCAAGUCAGAUGUGAAAUCUAUGGGCUUAACCCAUAAACUGCAUUUGAAACUGUUUUUCUUGAGUGAUGGAGAGGCAAGCGGAAUUCCUAGUGUAGCGGUGAAAUGCGUAGAUAUUAGGAGGAACACCAGUGGCGAAGGCGGCUUGCUGGACAUUAACUGACGCUGAGGCGCGAAAGCGUGGGGAGCAAACAGGAUUAGAAACCCCAGUAGUCC